UACGUAGGGUGCAAGCGUUGUCCGGAAUUAUUGGGCGUAAAGAGCUCGUAGGCGGUUCGUCGCGUCGGCUGUGAAAACCUGAGGCUCAACCUCAGGCCUGCAGUCGAUACGGGCGGACUUGAGUACUGCAGGGAGACUGGAAUUCCUGGUGUAGCGGUGAAAUGACGCAGAUAUCAGGAGGAACACCGGUGGCGAAGGCGGGUCUCUGGGCAGUAACUGACGCUGAGGAGCGAAAGCGUGGGGAGCGAACAGG
rnacentral:rRNA from 1 species